GUAAUUUAGUACUUGUUCUACUUGUUCUUGCUGGUUCUUCGAUUGCUUGCAGGACGAGUGCCCUAGUGGCCGGGUGUUGCGCUCCACAAGAUCGUGACAGCCAUUGGAGGCGGUGUAUCGGUUGCUAAGGCGCAGUCUUGAGGGCUGUAGUCGGGCCGUGAACGUCAUCUCCAUUCACUAAUCGAGUUAUCCAGCGCCUCUCAUCGAAAGAUCAGGCGAAAACCCUAGUGGGUUCACAUCAGUUGGUAAUCAGAGCAAGGUUCUUCGGUGAGAGACUUCUAAUCCUUUGCUGUUUUUAAUUAAUUUCCUAUAGUCCAGAAAAGCCAAAAAAAUAUAGUAGAUUAGUUUUUCCAUAAUCCUAUUAAACCUUUGUGCCUUGGCUAGUACCGAUUUAGUUAGGGCUUGUUGAAUUUGCGUUGCUUCGGUUUGUGUCGAGUUGCUGGUCUUAGUGUCUAGUCCUUUAGAGUUUCGAGUUCUUGUCACCAUCUAUACACAGCCGAGUAUUACCAUAUCUUCUCUCUGUCGAAUCUGUUGCGAAGUCCGAAUUGAACUGUGAUCCAAAAAGAAAGAUAACUCCAUACUUGUUCGGCCUUAC
rnacentral:lncRNA from 1 species